UACAGAGGGGGCAGGCGUUGUCCGGAUUUACUGGGCGUACAGCGCGCGCAGGCGGACCUGGACGUGCCGUGUGACAAGCCACCGCUCACCGGUGGAGGGCCACGGUACACGACAGUUCUGGAGGCAGGGAGAGGGAUGUGGAAUGCCCGGUGGAGCGGUGAAAUGCGUAGAGAUCCGGAGGAACACCAGAGGCGAAGGCGGCGCGCUGGGCUGCACCUGACGCUGAACCACGAAAGCCAGGGUAGCGAACGGG
rnacentral:rRNA from 1 species